GGUCCAGACUCCUACGGGAGGCAGCAGUGGGGGAUAUUGCACAAUGGGGGGAACCCUGAUGCAGCGACACCGCGUGAACGGAGAAAUAUUUCGGUAUGUAAAGUUCUAUCAGCAGGGAAGAAAAUGACAGUACCUGACCAAGAAGCCCCGGCUAACUACGUGCCAGCAGCCGCGGUAAUACGUAGGGGGCAAGCGUUAUCCGGAUUUACUGGGUGUAAAGGGAGCGCAGACGGCAGUGCAAGUCUGGAGUGAAAGCCCGUGGCUUAACUACGGGACUGCUCUGGAAACUGUGCAGCUAGAGUGCAGGAGAGGCAGGCGGAAUUCCUAGUGUAGCGGUGAAAUGCGUAGAUAUUAGGAGGAACACCGGUGGCGAAGGCGGCCUGCUGGACUGUAACUGACGUUGAGGCUCGAAAGCGUGGGGAGCAAACAGGAUUAGAUACCCUCGUA
rnacentral:rRNA from 1 species